rnacentral:rRNA from 1 species
UACGAGUGCCCCAAGCGUUAUCCGGAAUUAUUGGGCGUAAAGGGUAUGUAGGUGGUUUGGUUAGUCUUCUGUCAAAUUCUUCGGCUUAACCGGGGUCCUGCAGAGGAAACGGCCAGACUAGAGGAUGUUAGGGGUUGAGGGAACUCAUGGAGUAGGGGUGAAAUCCGUUGAUAUCAUGGGGAACACCAAAAGCGAAGGCACUCAACUAGGGCAUUCCUGACACUGAAACACGAAAGCGUGGGUAGCGAACUGG